GGGGCUGUUUGGCUUUGACAGCGGGCAGGAAUGGUACGUAAGCAGGCAGUGCUCUGUCGGUCUGCACUAUAAAAAAGACAGUCAACAAUUAUCUGGCAACAACAAUUUUGCUUUCGCUGCUUAAGAUCGAAGUACAGUAGAUCGGCUUAAUCACGGCACUAGGUGUUGUGACGAAACAUCACCCGGAAGCUCUUGCUCCGAAGCUCGUCGAUACGGUGGUGCAGCUAAAUCGGGGAUAGUUUAUGAUGGCUUCGCAUCAUGGAUGAAACAACAGAAGAUAAGGUUCAGGCCCGGCAGCUCCGGCUAAGUCUGUUCCCGACAAUUCAAGCGGAGAUAAGCCUGUAGAAAGCGUAUGGUUUCCCCGUUUGGACGAGGGUUCGACUCCCUCCAGCUCCAC
rnacentral:tmRNA from 2 species